GGGGGGUAUUGCUGUAGGUUUACGGUUUAAAUGCAGUGGGUACAGAUGCAGCUGCAUGUUUAGAGUGAAUACUGACUGCUUGGUUAAUAUAGCAUAUUAUAGGGUUCAUACAGGAGGUGUGGAGUUAAUAUAUAUAUAUAGGUUUAUACAAUACUGCUAUGCACUCCUCUUUUUGUAAAAGAUUUGUGAAAUGUUCUACAUCUAGCCGUUCAGAUCAUUACAACAAAAUAGUUCAAGAGAGAGCCAAUUCAUUCUUUUACAUAAAAGUUUGCUUUGAAGUCCUCAUUCAUUUACUCUGAAACUCAGGAUUUAUUUAUAGAAUCGAAAUAAAAUGAUAAGUAAUUAUACACCUAUCUUGACCAUUUACUGAUGCAAGAUAGCCCUGCAGCUAUUAUAAGAGAUCAAAUUUAAAAAAUGUACAUAU